AAAUUGAAGAGUUUGAUCAUGGCUCAGAUUGAACGCUGGCGGCAGGCCUAACACAUGCAAGUCGAACGGUAACAGAAAGCAGCUUGCUGCUUUGCUGACGAGUGGCGGACGGGUGAGUAAUGUCUGGGAAACUGCCUGAUGGAGGGGGAUAACUACUGGAAACGGUAGCUAAUACCGCAUAACGUCGCAAGACCAAAGAGGGGGACCUUCGGGCCUCUUGCCAUCGGAUGUGCCCAGAUGGGAUUAGCUAGUAGGUGGGGUAAUGGCUCACCUAGGCGACGAUCCCUAGCUGGUCUGAGAGGAUGACCAGCCACACUGGAACUGAGACACGGUCCAGACUCCUACGGGAGGCAGCAGUGGGGAAUAUUGCACAAUGGGCGCAAGCCUGAUGCAGCCAUGCCGCGUGUAUGAAGAAGGCCUUCGGGUUGUAAAGUACUUUCAGCGGGGAGGAAGGGAGUAAAGUUAAUACCUUUGCUCAUUGACGUUACCCGCAGAAGAAGCACCGGCUAACUCCGUGCCAGCAGCCGCGGUAAUACGGAGGGUGCAAGCGUUAAUCGGAAUUACUGGGCGUAAAGCGCACGCAGGCGGUUUGUUAAGUCAGAUGUGAAAUCCCCGGGCUCAACCUGGGAACUGCAUCUGAUACUGGCAAGCUUGAGUCUCGUAGAGGGGGGUAGAAUUCCAGGUGUAGCGGUGAAAUGCGUAGAGAUCUGGAGGAAUACCGGUGGCGAAGGCGGCCCCCUGGACGAAGACUGACGCUCAGGUGCGAAAGCGUGGGGAGCAAACAGGAUUAGAUACCCUGGUAGUCCACGCCGUAAACGAUGUCGACUUGGAGGUUGUGCCCUUGAGGCGUGGCUUCCGGAGCUAACGCGUUAAGUCGACCGCCUGGGGAGUACGGCCGCAAGGUUAAAACUCAAAUGAAUUGACGGGGGCCCGCACAAGCGGUGGAGCAUGUGGUUUAAUUCGAUGCAACGCGAAGAACCUUACCUGGUCUUGACAUCCACGGAAGUUUUCAGAGAUGAGAAUGUGCCUUCGGGAACCGUGAGACAGGUGCUGCAUGGCUGUCGUCAGCUCGUGUUGUGAAAUGUUGGGUUAAGUCCCGCAACGAGCGCAACCCUUAUCCUUUGUUGCCAGCGGUCCGGCCGGGAACUCAAAGGAGACUGCCAGUGAUAAACUGGAGGAAGGUGGGGAUGACGUCAAGUCAUCAUGGCCCUUACGACCAGGGCUACACACGUGCUACAAUGGCGCAUACAAAGAGAAGCGACCUCGCGAGAGCAAGCGGACCUCAUAAAGUGCGUCGUAGUCCGGAUUGGAGUCUGCAACUCGACUCCAUGAAGUCGGAAUCGCUAGUAAUCGUGGAUCAGAAUGCCACGGUGAAUACGUUCCCGGGCCUUGUACACACCGCCCGUCACACCAUGGGAGUGGGUUGCAAAAGAAGUAGGUAGCUUAACCUUCGGGAGGGCGCUUACCACUUUGUGAUUCAUGACUGGGGUGAAGUCGUAACAAGGUAACCGUAGGGGAACCUGCGGUUGGAUCACCUCCUUACCUUAAAGAAGC
rnacentral:rRNA from 1 species